UUAAGUUCAGCGGGUAUCCCUACCUGAUCCGAGGUCAACCUGAAAGGGGGGUUUAACGGCGAAGCCGCCACAUCCACCGGAGCGAACUGAGAUGUCACAACGCUCGGGGACGGACGACCCGCCGGGCACGAGGCACUUUGGGGCACGCGGGGACCGCGACGCCCAACACCAAGCCAAGCUUGAGGGGUGUAAUGACGCUC
rnacentral:misc_RNA from 1 species